GUAAACUCCCAGACAGAGGCAGGGUACGGGGCUAGCACGGCGUUCAAGGCUCAUCGUGCUUCAUCCCAGCUCACCUACUCAACUGGACUUUCGCUACCCACCUGCAGCCCUUCUGUGUCAAUCACCUGGGGCCUCUCACGGCUAGGGUUUCAGGUUUCAGUGUCCUUGUUCACCCUGGAAGCCUGAAAGUUCAAAACAACACCUGAUUCGCUCUUGUUCUCUCAUUCUGGAAUCUAUUUUCUCUCCUUUAGCUCUGAUUUAAAUCGAUUUUCAGCACGCUCCAUGAUGCAGAGCAAGUGUCUUCUCUUCCAUGAAGGCUUCUCUUACGGACCAAGACAAAAGGGUGUUUUUUGUUGCUAAUAGAACUAAAAUCUCAGCACAUUCACUUCCAACCCAAAAUGAAAUGCAACCUUUCAGUGUGACGCAGGCUUUCUUCCUACUCUGUUUCCUGUCAUAAUCUAUGUUUUGCAAUUUCCUCCCAGAACACACUGAUAAAGAGAAGUAGAUGACAGUUAUUGAUGAACCCUGCUUCUGGCAGUUAUUAAUCAGCCAUUGACUUGAUGAAGCAGCCAUGGAUGCCACACCUGAUGGUGAGGCAUGUGACCUGGGGUCCAGCUGCCAUGGGUCAUCCAUGUGGCUUUGGGAGUGUUGGGAAGCUACUGCUUCAGCAUCUCCAAGGAACAAGCGUCCUGUGAGAGUGGAAGUGAGAGGUCAGUAAAGACAGACCCGUUUUUUGAGCCCUUACUCUGCCAGGCAUUGGGAAACAGAGAAACAGAGUUUCUGUCCUUGUGAAGCUUCAGCCUAGUGGAUUAUUUCUCUACAACUGUCAUGGAACAUUAAGAAAUAAUUUCAAAAGAGUGAAGGGCAUGGUAGGCACAUUUUACAUAAGUCAUUUAAUUGGCGCUUCCAAAUGCCUCUUAAAGGUACGUGGUGAUCCCAUUUUACAGGUGAGAAGACUGAGGCUCAGUGAGUUCUAGUAACUUGACAAAGCCCCACAGCAAGCUGACAGAUGAGUCAGGAUUCCAGUGCAGAUCAACUGGACCCCAACGUCUUUGCUUUUCCCACCACAUGACUUAGGGAGAAUGGAACAUCCCAUUUCAGGAGAAUGUGAUGUCUCUGAAAUUCUGUCUUCAGCAAUGUCCUCUUUCAAAUUUUAUGUGUUCUUUGCUACCUCCAUUUGGGCAGAAAUUGUGUCUUAUAAGAAUUUAAUCCCCUGAAGCAAUUGGAAUGGUACUGGAGAAUAAACAAAACAAAACAAAACCAAAAAACAAAAAAAAAAAACCCAUUAAUGUUUUAAAAGUAGAAAUGCAAACACAGCAACAAAAAGUAGCCCUAAUUGCAAAGCCCAAUAGAAUUGUGCUUGAGAUGAUUUGCUGCUUUAUUUUUGGAAGCCCUCCGUAUUACCCACACUAUUGUCAAACUCUUCUUGAGCAGUGAACAUCAAGAGAUCAUGGAUUAAAUGGGAAAAUUAGUGUCAAGAUUACAUCAGAAGAAAGGCAAGUAUCGCAUCAUUUCACUGCCCACAAAAAUACAUUCUUUCCCUUUCCCUCCACUAUUUUAAGACUUCAUUGACCUUUUCUAAGGUCCCAAUUUCCAUUUAACCUCUGUGCCAGUCAAGACAGCAGUCCCAAGUCUCUAACUUUCUUCACCCAAUGAUCACUCUUUGAACUCACCAAGCAUGCUACAAACAGAAGGAAGCCAUUAGCAGGGGGAGUUCGAACCUAUAUAGCCAACCAUAAAUUAGAAGUCCAAGGAAGCAUUUUCAACCACUACGAGGUCACUCAGGCUGACUGCUGGCAGUGGCUUCUCAUCGAUGACAGGUCACUAAAGAAUUCUCUCUAGGCGGCUCAUUUCUGGUGGCAGCAAUAUUACUGUUUGGACUUCUGAAAUGAUUUUUGUGAUGCACAUGGCUGCCAGAGGCAGGAAUUCUGGAAUCAGAGAGGAGAAACCACUUACCUCAGGGGCUGAAGGAGCCUUUGGGCUUCCUGGCUAGAGUGCUGAGGAACUUGGUGCUCUCAGGCUGCUGGUGGGAGGAGAGACCUGGGUUUGAGGAGGUGACUGGCCAGGCUUAUGGACGGGGAUCCACAUGAUGAAUUUCUCCAGCCCCUGUGCACUCAAACUGCCGUAAAAUCAGUUAGUGGGUUUGCGCUUUGAGCAGCUCUAGUAAUUCAUUUGGUGUGUCUUUAUAGUUUACAAGGCACUCUUGCUUCUGAGUUUCCCUUGGAGGCUGAGGCCACUCCCAGAAGCCCAGUAAAGAGCAGUGGCCAAGUGCACAAACUGGGCCUGGGCUCAGAUCCCAGCUCUGUCGCUUUCUAACUGUGUGACCUUUGGCAAACUACUUAACAUUUCUGUGCCUCUGUUUAUGCAUCUGUGAAAUGGUGGUAAGACUAGUACCUAUCCCAAAGAGUUGCUGUGAAGUUGAACUGAGUUAAUAUUUGAAACACUUAGAACUGUGCUAUUAAGGCAUUAGCCUAAGCUUCUCCAUUUUAAUAGGUGAAGAUAUUUGGAAAUCUAUAGAGGAUGAUUUGCUAUAGUUUACUCAAGUGACUUGAACCUAACUCCCCCUCCAAAGUCUGACCAUUAUUCCACAUGGAUGUUCCUUUAUGCAAUUUUCUAUCCAUCUAUCCCAGCCAGAUUCCAUUUCUUGCUGUAAUUCGAAUAUUUUCACACUGGAUUUUCUAGGAAAUGUGGCCGAGGGAGGGCUAUCUUAGGUAUACACUUACACUUUUUAAAACUGUUCCUGUUUUGUUGUGUGUACUUAUGCUCAGGUUUUGAGUUUACCCCUAAAUCUCAAAAGAAGUAUAUUGAAAAGUAUGAAAUUGCCAUUUAUUAUAAUGAUGAAAUCAACUUCCUUAAGAAUUUCACAUAUGUCAAUGCAUAGAAAUUAUUUCAAAUAAAGUAUGUUUCUGUGAACAUAAAACAUUUACUUGUUAUGACACUGUAAUCAGGGCGUCACAGAUUCUAGGAUAUGAAAUGCUAAGCACCCCAUCUCUACCAAAAUAAAAAAAAUUUAGCCCGGCGUGGUGGAACACACUGUAGUCUCAGCUUCUCAGGAAGCAGGGGUAGGAGGACAACUUGAGCCUGGGAGGCUGCAGUGAGCUGUGGUUGUGUCACUGCACUCCAGUCUGGGUGACAGAGGGAGACUAUGUCUCAACAAACAAACAAACAAACAAACAAUAAAUAAAUAGAAAGAAAUACUAAGUAG
rnacentral:lncRNA from 10 species